GACGAACGCUGGCGGCGUGCUUAAUACAUGCAAGUCGAACGCAGUGGGGACGGGUGAGUAACACGUGGGUAACCUCCCAUCAGAGGGGAUAACACUUGGAAACAGGUGCUAAACCGACACUGAUGGAUGGACCCGCGGUGCCUUAGCUAGGUGGUGAGGUAACGGCUCACCAAGGCCGCGAUGCAUAGCCGACCUGAGAGGGUGUGCGGCCACACGGGGACUGAGACACGGCCCGGACUCCUACGGGAGGCAGCAGUAGGGAAUCUUCGUCAAUGGACGAAGGGCUGACCGAGCAACGCCGCGUUAGUGAAGAAGGUUUUCGGAUCGUAAAACUCUGUUGUUAGAGAAGCGGUAUCUAACCGGAAAGCCACGGCUAACUACGUGCCAGCAGCCGCGGUAAUUC
rnacentral:rRNA from 1 species